rnacentral:rRNA from 1 species
UAAGCUUCGUCGUUGAAAGGGAAACAGCUCAGACCACCAGCUAAGGUGCCUAAAUGGACGCUAAGUGGUAAAGGAGGUGGGAUUGCAUAGACAACCAGGAGAUAUGCCUAGAAGUAGCCAUCCUUAAAAGAGUGCGUAAUAGAUCACUGGUCAAGCGAUCCUAGUCGAAAAUGAACGGGACUAAGCAUCUUACCGAACAUGUGGACUUGUAGUUAUACAGGUGGUAGAGGAGCGUUCUGCAUAGGGAGAAGCAUUAGCGAGAGCAGAUGUGGACAGUGCAGAAGUGAGAAUGUCGGCUUGAGUAGCGAAAACAUUGGUGAGAAUCCCUUGCCCCGAAACCAUUAGGGUUCCUCCGGACGGCUCGUCUGCGGAGCGUUAGUCGGGACCUAAGGCGAGGCCGAAAGGCGUAGUCG